AUGGGAUCCCGCCGGAGUGACAAGCCCCCCAUGUCACCUCCGAUCCUGGCGGCGGAGCGCCAGCGUGAAAAGGAUCUGCGGGCGAAGGCGCUCGCCAAGGAUCAGGAGGUGUGCCAAGUGGUGGUGGGCAGCAACGAGACGGGUUUCAACCAGUACGGAUCCAACAUGACCAUGAGCCUCGACAUCGACAAGGGCGUCUCGGCGUCCUGCGACUCGGAGGGCCGCUCGACGCUGGUCUCCCCGGUGGUUGCGCUGGUGGACGCGUCAGGGGCUGUGGCAAGCCCUCCCAAGGUGGUGACCGGUAGUGGCAGCGGCGUGUUGAAGCUUCAGAAGAAGACGGCGGGCCGCAAACCACCUGUGGUGGCGCCAGCGGGCACCCCCGCGGUCCAUGCGAGCGUGCCGGUCCAGAGGCCGGUGGUGAUGGCACUGGCCUCUCCAGGGGGGCCGGCAGGGGACACCCCAUCGGUCAUCUCCCCCCCACCUCCGGACGCUCUUCGGAUGAGUGCUUGGGGGGUAUCUUAG
rnacentral:rRNA from 1 species